rnacentral:tRNA from 1 species
AUAUAUCUAGUUUAUUUUGAAUGUAAAUUUGUCAAAUUUAUGGGGUCUGUUAUGUUGAGACGGUAUAUG